rnacentral:siRNA from 1 species
GUCGUUAGCUUAAUUGGUAAAGAC